rnacentral:rRNA from 1 species
UACGUAGGGUGCAAGCGUUAAUCGGAAUUACUGGGCGUAAAGCGUGCGCAGGCGGUUGUGCAAGACAGAUGUGAAAUCCCCGGGCUCAACCUGGGAAUUGCAUUUGUGACUGCACGGCUAGAGUGUGUCAGAGGGGGGUAGAAUUCCACGUGUAGCAGUGAAAUGCGUAGAAAUGUGGAGGAAUACCGAUGGCGAAGGCAGCCCCCUGGGAUAACACUGACGCUCAUGCACGAAAGCGUGGGGAGCAAACAGG